rnacentral:rRNA from 1 species
AGUGAACGCUGGCGGUAGGCCUAACACAUGCAAGUCGAACGGCAGCACAGUAAGAGCUUGCUCUUACGGGUGGCGAGUGGCGGACGGGUGAGGAAUACAUCGGAAUCUACUUUUUCGUGGGGGAUAACGUAGGGAAACUUACGCUAAUACCGCAUACGACCUACGGGUGAAAGCAGGGGAUCUUCGGACCUUGCGCGAUUGAAUGAGCCGAUGUCGGAUUAGCUAGUUGGCGGGGUAAAGGCCCACCAAGGCGACGAUCCGUAGCUGGUCUGAGAGGAUGAUACGCCAACCUGGAACUGAGACACGGUCCGAGCUCCUACGGGAGGCAGCAGUGGGGAAUUUUGGACAAUGGGCGCAAGCCUGACCCAGCCAUCCCGCGUGGGUGAAGAAGGCCUUCGGGUUGUAAAGCCCUUUUGUUGGGAAAGAAAAGCAGCAGGUUAAUCCCCCGCUGUUCUGACGGUACCCAAAGAAAGAGCAGCGGCGAACUUCGU